rnacentral:rRNA from 1 species
UACGUAGGGGCCAAGCGUUGUCCGGAUUUAUUGGGCGUAAAGGGCUCGUAGGCGGUUGGGUAAGUCGGGUGUGAAAACUCCAGGCUCAACUUGGAGAUGCCACCCGAUACUGCUCUGACUUGAGUUCGGUAGGGGAGUGGGGAAUUCCUGGUGUAGCGGUGAAAUGCGCAGAUAUCAGGAGGAACACCGGUGGCGAAGGCGCCACUCUGGGCCGAAACUGACGCUGAGGAGCGAAAGCGUGGGUAGCAAACAGG